UUUUUUUUUUUUUUUUUUUUUGAGAUGGAGUCUCACUCUGUCACCCAGGCUGAAGUACAGUGGCACAAUCUCGGCUCACUGCAACCUCCGCCUCUCCGGUUUAAGCGAUUCUUCUGCCUCAGCCUCCCAAGUAGCUGGGACUACUGGCAUGCACCAGCACACCCAGCUAAUUUUUGUAUUUUCAGUGGAAACAGGGUUCCACCAUAUUGGUCUCGAACUCCUGACCUCAUGAUCCAUCCACCUCAGCCUCCCAAAGUGCUGGGAUUACAGGUGUGAGCCACCGCCCCCUGCCUGCUCUAUUCUUACACUUUGGAAAAUAGAUCAAGGCAUACUACCAGCUUUUACACUUUUCUUUGGCUCUUCUGGUUUUUAUCACUGUUGAUUCUUAUUUUAAUAGUGUUUGCUUUUAAGGAACACAAGAGUCAAUUUUUGAGGAACAAAAUUUUGUUUAAUUUAAAAUGGCUCAUAACCAAAAAGAGAUCAAUAUAAGGAAUACAGGCAAGCUCUCAACUCCGGCAAGGAAAAGACAAGAAAACAGAUUUUCUUCUACAGCCUGCAGAAAGGAAUACAGUCCUGCGGACACCUUGAUUUUAGUCAAGUGUGACCUGCAUCAGACUUCUGACCUACUGACCUAUAAGCUAAUUAACUUGUGUUAUUUUAAGUUUGUGGUAAUUUGUUACAGUAGCAAUAGAAAAUUAAGACUCGUGUGCUGCUAGGUUAAUCAAUUUAAGAACAUGUCUGAUCAACCCUACUCCAACUCAAAAUUCUUCACAGCAAUGCUUUGCCUACCAAAUAUAGUUCAAAUGACUCAAGUUUACAUACAAAGGAUUUUACAAUUUUAUUGCAGACAUCUUCCACUAUUUUCCUUCACUACUACACACCUAAGAAAUGUCUUUAAGUCAUUCCCCAAAUUGCUCCUUAACAUUUUUGCCACUGUGUGUUUUCAUGCCUUUUGUCUGAAAUGUGCUUCUCUUCAUCUUCAUUUGCUGAAAUUCUAGUUGUCCUUCAAGUUCAAAAUUCAUUAUCACCUCCUCCACGUGGUCCUCUCUAAUUUCUCUAGUUGGUUAUCAGUCACUUUUCUCUUACGUGCUUUCUUGGCCAUUGUUUAUCUCUCUUAAUUUGGUUUUAUCUCUUUCUACCUUCUUUGAAGAAAUAUUGCUUUGUCCUUAUUAAAUAAAUAAGUUUUACAAGAACAAGAAUCUUGACUUUCAUCUUUGAAUUCCUAAAGCACCAACUUCAGGUCGUGGCACUGAGUAAAUACUCAAGAAAAUUCUAAAUUUUAUUUAUGAUAUUUCCUGUUGACCAGUUUAAAGAAGACCUGGUGUUUCUGAUCUGCUUUAAAUAAAACACUUUUGAUUUUUAGUUAUUAGUUUUAUUGAAUUACCUUAAUGGUACUGAAUAUUAUAUUAUGGUCCUAGAAGGUUGUCAUAAUAAACUCAUCUGAUACAACAAUACCAUCUGGGUCACUCUGUAGCAUACAAUGCAAUAAACACUAUAGGUAGUCAAUUAGACCAUGAAUAUUCUUGUAGUCUGAACAUUUCCCUAAGUUGAUAUGGCGGUUUAAUGGUAUGCCAGUGUUUCUUUCUUUAUCCUCUGACUUAGUUAUUUUUUCAUAUUUUGAAAAUAACAAUUCUGUUUUCUCUCAACAAUGUCAUCUCAGAGCUCU
ensembl:lncRNA